GCCCGGGUAGCUCAACGGUCCGCUGGCUGGCUUUGUAAAACCAAGGUAAUUUUAAGCCCGACAGCGCGAGAAGGAGCGUCCGACUGUUAAUCGGACGGUUGAAGGUUCGAAUCCUUCCUCGGGCG
rnacentral:tRNA from 1 species